AGCGAACGCUGGCGGCAGGCCUAACACAUGCAAGUCGAGUGGUCGUAGCAAUACGGCAGCGGCAGACGGGAGAGUAACACGUGGGAACGUACCCUUCAGUACGGAACAACCAAGGGAAACUUUGGCUAAUACCGUAUACGUCCGUAAGGAGAAAGAUUUAUCGCUGAAGGAUCGGCCCGCGUCUGAUUAGCUAGUUGGUGGGGUAAUGGCCCACCAAGGCGACGAUCAGUAGCUGGUCUGAGAGGAUGAUCAGCCUCACUGGGACUGAGACACGGCCCAGACUCCUACGGGAGGCAGCAGUGGGGAAUAUUGGACAAUGGGCGCAAGCCUGAUCCAGCCAUGCCGCGUGGAUGAUGAAGGCCCUAGGGUUGUAAAGUCCUUUCGGCGGGGAAGAUAAUGACGGUACCCGCAGAAGAAGCCCCGGCUAACUUCGUGCCAGCCGCCGCGGUAAUAC
rnacentral:rRNA from 1 species